UACGUAGGGUGCAAGCGUUGUCCGGAAUUAUUGGGCGUAAAGAGCUCGUAGGCGGUCUGUCGCGUCGGCUGUGAAAACCCGGGGCUCAACUCCGGGCCUGCAGUCGAUACGGGCAGACUAGAGUGCGGUAGGGGAGACUGGAAUUCCUGGUGUAGCGGUGAAAAUGCGCAGAUAUCAGGAGGAACACCGGUGGCGAAGGCGGGUCUCUGGGCCGUAACUGACGCUGAGGAGCGAAAGCGUGGGGAGCGAACAGG
rnacentral:rRNA from 1 species